UGGAGGCAGCAGUGAGGAAUCUUGGACAAUGGGCGCAAGCCUGAUCCAGCCAUGCCGCGUGAGUGAUGAAGGCCUUAGGGUUGUAAAGCUCUUUCAGCGGGGAAGAUAAUGACGGUACCCGCAGAAGAAGCCCCGGCUAACUUCGUGCCAGCAGCCGCGGUAAUACGAAGGGGGCUAGCGUUGCUCGGAAUCACUGGGCGUAAAGCGCACGUAGGCGGCUUUCUAAGUCAGGGGUGAAAUCCUGGAGCUCAACUCCAGAACUGCCUUUGAUACUGGGAAGCUCGAGUCCGGAAGAGGUGAGUGGAACUCCGAGUGUAGAGGUGAAAUUCGUAGAUAUUCGGAAGAACACCAGUGGCGAAGGCGGCUCACUGGUCCGGUACUGACGCUGAGGUGCGAAAGCGUGGGGAGCAAACAGGAUUAGAUACCCCCGUAGUCCC
rnacentral:rRNA from 1 species